ACGCUCUGGAAAAUCCCAUGUUUGUGGGUGCCGAAGGUGUAAGGUUCCAAUGGAGCUGAAUCUCUCAGGCAAACAGACAGAGAA
rnacentral:ncRNA from 1 species